AUGAACGCUAGCUCCAGGCUUAACACAUGCCAGUCGAGGGGCAGCAUGGUCUUAGCUUGCUAAGGCCGAUGGCGACCGGCGCACGGGUGAGUAACACGUAUCCAACCUGCCGUCUACUCUUGGACAGCCUUCUGAAAGGAAGAUUAAUACAAGAUGGCAUCAUGAGUCCGCAUGUUCACAUGAUUAAAGGUAUUCCGGUAGACGAUGGGGAUGCGUUCCAUUAGAUAGUAGGCGGGGUAACGGCCCACCUAGUCUUCGAUGGAUAGGGGUUCUGAGAGGAAGGUCCCCCACAUUGGAACUGAGACACGGUCCAAACUCCUACGGGAGGCAGCAGUGAGGAAUAUUGGUCAAUGGGCGAGAGCCUGAACCAGCCAAGUAGCGUGAAGGAUGACUGCCCUAUGGGUUGUAAACUUCUUUUAUAAAGGAAUAAAGUCGGGUAUGGAUACCCGUUUGCAUGUACUUUAUGAAUAAGGAUCGGCUAACUCCGUG
rnacentral:rRNA from 1 species